UACUGUAUAUACUUGUUGGUGUAUUUUAAAAUCUUCAGUUAACAUAUUAUCUGUAAAUCUUCAAUUAACAUAUUAUUUCUUGUUCAUAGUAUACCUGGAACACAGAACAUAAUAACAUAGCUGUUGCCGACUUUCUCUCAGAGUAGUCAGGAUAAGACAACUUCCUGUAUUAGACACAGGUUGAAACUUGCCUUAGAAAUCACUAGAUGUAUAGACAUAGGGCUACCUAUUUUCUGGAAACAGAUGUUGAGAAGAUGUGGAAUGCAAUGGAGAGCUCCCCUAACAUGGCUACUGGAAUUUAGGUCACUGGAAACAUCAG
rnacentral:lncRNA from 11 species